rnacentral:rRNA from 1 species
AUAUUGCGCAAUGGGCGAAAGCCUGAUGCAGCGACGCCGCGUGAGGUAUGACGGCCUUCGGGUUGUAAACCUCUUUCAUUAGGGAUGAAUCCUUUCGGGGUGACGGUACCUGCAGAAGAAGCGCCGUCCAACUUCUUUCCAACAGCCGCGGUAAUACGUAGGGCUCAAGCGUUGUCCGGUAUUAUUGGGCGUAAAGAGCUCGUAGGCGGCUUGUCGCGUCUGCUGUGAAAACGCAAGGCUUAACCUUGCGCCUGCAGUGGGUACGGGCAGGCUAGAGUGCGGUAGGGGAGACUGGAAUUCCUGGUGUAGCGGUGGAAUGCGCAGAUAUCAGGAGGAACACCGGUGGCGAAGGCGGGUCUCUGGGCCGUUACUGACGCUGAGGAGCGAAAGCAUGGGGAGCGAACA